rnacentral:rRNA from 1 species
AUGAACGCUGGCGGCGUGCUUAACACAUGCCAGUCGAACGGAAAGGCUCCUGCUUGCAGGGGUACUCGAGUGGCGAACGGGUGAGUAACACGUGGGUGAUCUGCCCUGCACUUCGGGAUAAGCCUGGGAAACUGGGUCUAAUACCGGAUAGGACCACAUUUUGGAUGGUGUGGUGGAAAGUUUUUCGGUGUGGGAUGAGCUCGCGGCCUAUCAGCUUGUUGGUGGGGUAAUGGCCUACCAAGGCGUCGACGGGUAGCCGGCCUGAGAGGGUGUACGGCCACAUUGGGACUGAGAUACGGCCCAGACUCCUACGGGAGGCAGCAGUGGGGAAUAUUGCACAAUGGGCGCAAGCCUGAUGCAGCGACGCCGCGUGGGGGAUGACGGCCUUCGGGUUGUAAACUCCUUUCGCUAGGGACGAAGCGUUUUUGUGACGGUACCUGGAGAAGAAGCACCGGCUAACUACGUG